UCCGUCACCCCGGCCGCCUCCACCGUCCUCGCAAUCCACUCCUUGAGCGGAUCCUCAUUCAAAUCAAGCCUCAGAAGGCCAGCAAACACCCCACCCAGGAAAGCCACAGGCUCCUUGAGGGCGUCUCUGAUGAUGGGUUGGUCUUCAAAUGGGUUGAAGAAAGCCUGGACGGUGAGACGGCGAGUGGCCAGUUUGUUGGGGGAGGGAGAGGGGGUGAGACGGAGAGCGGUGGAGCUCUUCCGCUGAUGUGGAGGACGAGAGGGGUUCAGCAGCAUCAUGGGGGCGGCGGAGGAGAGGAGAGCCAUCCUCGCCAGGAUUGUUGUCGGUG
rnacentral:misc_RNA from 1 species